GAGGAACAUGGGGGACAUAGGGGAUGUAGAACAUAGGAGACAUAGAUAUGGAUGAACAUGGGACAUGGAGGGACAUGUGGGGACAUGGAGGGACAUGGGACAGGGGACAUGGACAUGGGAAUAUGGAGAAAUAUGGAGGAACGUGCGGAGACAUGGAAGAACAUGGAGAACACGGGAGAUGUAGGAAGUGUAGAACAUGGGGGACAUGGAUAUGGGGGGACAUGGAGGGACGUGGGACAUGGGGGGACAUGAAGGGACGUGGGGGGACAUGGGACAUGGACAUGGGAACAUGGAGGAACGUGGAGAGACAUGGAGGAACGUGAGGGACAUGGAGGAACGUGAGGGACAGGGGAUGUAGAACAUGGGGGACGUGGAUAUGGGGGGACAUGGAGAGACACAGGACAUGGGGGGACAUGAAGGGACGUGGGGGGACAUGGGACGUGGGGGACGUGGAGAGGCGGGGGGACAUGGAGGGACAUGGGACAUGGAGAUGAAGGACACGGAGAACACGGCACAUGGAGGGACAUGAGACAUGGGGGAACAUGGAGGAACGGGGAGAACAUGGAGGGAUGGGGGAACGUGGACACGGAGGAACAUGAGACAUGGGACAUGCGCAACAUGGAAGAAGAUGAAGGACACGAGAAACAUGGAGAACAUGGAACAUGGAUAGGGAGGAACACAGAGGAUGUGUGGGACACGUGGGACAUGGAUAUGGAUGGACAGGAGAGAUAUGGGGGGGAUAUGGAGGAACAUGGGAUACGGAGGAACACGAGAGACACGGAGGAACAUGGAGGAACGGGGAGAACACGGAGGAACAGAAGCAACAUAGAGGGACAUGGGACACGUGGGACAUGGAAGAACAUGGAGAGACACGGACGUAGGACAUGAGAAACAUGGGAGAACAUGGGACGCGGAGGGAGACGGACACAAAAGACACGGAAAACGGCAAAGUGGGGGCGCGGCGGCUGCGGGGGCUGCUGGGGACGCUGCCACCCGCCCUCCUGGGUCCCCUGGGCCACCCGGGGGGACCGGCGCCCGUCCCCUUGGCCACCCUGCGCCCCGGACCCAACCCCGGCAAGGUCCUGCUGGGCCGGGUGCUCUUCAGCCUCACACCUCACGAGCGGGUGCCCUUGUGAGUACACGCGUGUGCGGGGGACGCGGGGACACGGUUUGGGGUGGGGGACAAAGGGUCGCGUCCCCCCCAUGGGUGUCCGUGUCCCAUCCCGGUCACCCAAUGUCAUUCCCAGCCCCAUAUAUUGGGAUCGAGGCCCUUCGGGAGGGCGACACGGGCUGACACGCGUGUGCGGGGACACGUGUGCGGUGCGGGGACCCUCAUAGCACGUGGUCGUGUCCCCACACGUGUCCCCAUGUCCCAUCCCGGCCGCCCCACGUCCUUCCCGGCCCCGUAUCUCGGGAUCGAGGCCCUUUGGGAGGGCGACACGGGCUGACACGCGUGUGCGGGGACACGUGUGCGUCACACGGAGCCUCCCAACACGUGGUCGUGUCCCCACACGUGUCCCCGUGUCCCAUCCC
rnacentral:lncRNA from 1 species